CACUGUGGAUCUCAUGGAGAUGCCGGGAUGAAUAAGCAGGGGCCUGACAACUGAGGAAUGGACAGUCUGAAGACCUCAGCUCAUGUGUGACUCCAGAACGGAUGCAGAUGGUCAAGGAGAAAAGGAAACUCUCAUUCACUGAACAUGAUUCCAUGCCGGACAGUGUGCCAUGGAUCCUUGUCAUGGUGGGAGGUAUGUUAGUCCAAUUCUACAAUGAUUCAGCUACUAAUAAAACUACAGGAAUAACAGUGUGGAGCAUUUUUAUAGCCGUCGAUCAUCACAGCAACACUAAGCAGCAGAUAGGACAGAUUUACUAUUAUUAUUCUUGUUUUAUUGAUGGUCAAGACUUGAGGAAGCCAAAUCAAUGGUCCCAAGUCCCAAGGCAUCAGCUCAGGACCCAGAACAAGGCCCUCUUGCUCCAAGUCCACUGUCUUUGA
rnacentral:lncRNA from 1 species